CCUACGGGGGGCAGCAGUGGGGAAUAUUGGACAAUGGGGGGAACCCUGAUCCAGCCAUGCCGCGUGUGUGAAGAAGGCCCUCGGGUUGUAAAGCACUUUCAGUGAGGAAGAACGCCUGGUGGUUAAUACCCAUCAGGAAAGACAUCACUCACAGAAGAAGCACCGGCUAACUCCGUGCCAGCAGCCGCGGUAAUACGGAGGGUGCGAGCGUUAAUCGGAAUUACUGGGCGUAAAGCGCGCGUGGGUGGCUUGAUAAGCCGGUUGUGAAAGCCCCGGGCUCAACCUGGGAACGGCAUCCGGAACUGUCAAGCUAGAGUGCAGGAGAGGAAGGUAGAAUUCCCGGUGUAGCGGUGAAAUGCGUAGAGAUCGGGAGGAAUACCAGUGGCGAAGGCGGCCUUCUGGACUGACACUGACACUGAGGUGCGAAAGCGUGGGUAGCAAACAGGAUUAGAUACCCUUGUAGUC
rnacentral:rRNA from 1 species